GGGGAAUUUUGGACAAUGGGCGCAAGCCUGAUCCAGCCAUGCCGCGUGUCUGAAGAAGGCCUUCGGGUUGUAAAGGACUUUUGUCAGGGAAGAAAAGGCUGUCGCUAAUACCGACAGUUGAUGACGGUACCUGAAGAAUAAGCACCGGCUAACUACGUGCCAGCAGCCGCGGUAAUACGUAGGGUGCGAGCGUUAAUCGGAAUUACUGGGCGUAAAGCGAGCGCAGACGGUUACUUAAGCAGGAUGUGAAAUCCCCGGGCUCAACCUGGGAACUGCGUUCUGAACUGGGUGACUAGAGUGUGUCAGAGGGAGGUAGAAUUCCACGUGUAGCAGUGAAAUGCGUAGAGAUGUGGAGGAAUACCGAUGGCGAAGGCAGCCUCCUGGGAUAACACUGACGUUCAUGCUCGAAGGCGUGGGUAGCAAACAGGAUUAGAUACCCUGGUAGUCCACGCCCUAAACGAUGUCAAUUAGCUGUUGGGCAACUUGAUUGCUUAGUAGCGUAGCUAACGCGUGAAAUUGACCGCCUGGGGAGUACGGUCGCAAGAUUA
rnacentral:rRNA from 1 species